rnacentral:rRNA from 1 species
GACGAACGCUGGCGGCGUGCCUAAUACAUGCAAGUCGAGCGGACCACUUCGGUGGUCAGCGGCGGACGGGUGAGUAACACGUGGGCAACCUGCCUGUAAGACUAGGAUAACACCGGGAAACCGGUGCUAAUACCGGAUAAUCCUUUCCUUCACAUGAAGGGAAGCUGAAAGACGGUUUCGGCUGUCACUUACAGAUGGGCCCGCGGCGCAUUAGCUAGUUGGUGAGGUAACGGCUCACCAAGGCAACGAUGCGUAGCCGACCUGAGAGGGUGAUCGGCCACACUGGGACUGAGACACGGCCCAGACUCCCACGGGAGGCAGCAGUAGGGAAUCUUCCGCAAUGGACGAAAGUCUGACGGAGCAACGCCGCGUGAGCGAUGAAGGCCUUCGGGUCGUAAAGCUCUGUUGUCAGGGAAGAACAAGUACCGGAGUAACUGCCGGUACCUUGACGGUACCUGACCAGAAAGCCACGGCUAACUACGUGCCAGCCGCCGCAGUAAGAC